GAAGGCACGACAUUGCUCACAUUGCUUCCAGUGUUUUUUUAGCCAGCUCGGGUGCUGGCUUUUUUUU
rnacentral:antisense_RNA from 1 species